GGUCGGUUCGGCCGGAUUUCACACAGGUGUUGCAUGGCUGUCGUCAGCUCGUGUCGUGAGAUGUUGGGUUAAGUCCCCGCAAACGAGCGCAACCCCUCAUCCUUAGGUUACCAUCAGGGUCAUGCCGGGGACUUUAAGGAAACUGCCCAGUGAUAAACUGGAGGAAGGUCGGGGAUGAUGUCAAGUCAUCAUGGCCCUUUAUGGAGUGGGCUCACACACGUGCUACAAUGGUGAUUACAGUGGGCUGCAAGGUCCCAAGGCCAAGCUAAUCCCUAAAAAUCAUCUCAAUUCCGAUUGUUCUCUGCAACUCCAGAGCAUGAAGUUGGAAUCCCUAAUAAUCCUGGAUCAACAUGCCACGGUGAAUACCUUCUCCGGUCUUGUACACACUGCCUACGAGUCCCGCCCUGG
rnacentral:rRNA from 1 species